UGUAUGUAUGUAUGAAAGAGUAUAUGACUUAAGUUUUGUCCAUCUCAGUCAAGUGCACUUGAGGUCUUCCUCCACCAAUAAUGCUAAAACAUGGCAAUAAGACCUUUACUGUGUUGUUGUGACGUAAAAUGCAAUCAAAUAAAAAAAUAAAUUCAUCUCAGCCUGUUAGAAUCGUAAUGAAUUCCUGACCACAAAUACCUGUGAUAGAUUUAUCAUUGUCUUACAAUUUAAUAUCUAGAGGCAUUGCCUAAUUUUAAAGAAUUACAUGUUUAGCUCUUUUGAAAUCCUUAUUAGAUUUUAAUGUUUCAAAAUAAUUUGUCUACAUUUUAUUCUUUACAGAUACUUUUUGUUGAUUUACAGACACGACAUGUGAAAAGCCUACAGGACAAUGAUAUGUUUGUAGCAAGAGGAAGGGCAUUUGAACUUCAAAAAGAGAAAAGGAGAAAAAGGUCUGCCGAAGAAAAGCUCCUAUUGAUGAAACGUUUUUGAAAUCUGGAAAACCACCUGUAGAAGCAGAUUUGACUUUAUGUCUAUAAAGGAGUACAGCUCUGGCAUCAUUUCCAUGGGUGUACAUUAGACAUUAAAUACGGGUUUAUAAUAGCUGAGGAUAAAAAGUAUCAAAUUAUUAAUAUUGGCUAACUCUAGAGGGAAGUAUUGUAUCAAAAUCAACAAGUGCUUAAUCAUUAUUUGAUCACUUUAGUUUAACAAUGUAUCUAUGAUCAAUAUGUCCAUCUAGUCUACACCAUACUGAUGUACUUCAUGACAUUAUUAUUGUAAAUGCAGAAAUAAGUUUAAGUGUGUCUCAUUACUUAGAUAUCGUAACAAAUUAUGAUAAACACAGAAUUUAAUAAUAAUUGUUUGAGACCUUAAGUAUUGUCAUAUGUGUUCUAAGAAUGCCGUGUCAUAUUCUCAUGAGUUGUACAAAAUAUAAUUUUAACAAGUAAAUCAAGAGAAGAAUAGAACAUCAGGAUGGUUUGUAAGUGGUUUGUUAAAAUAUAACUUUAUAAGAUGCAAUACCUUUUAAAGAUAUCUUGGUAAAGAAUGUUAUAUAAUAUGUUCUGACUUAAUGUCCUCAACUGAAAAGAAUGUUUUUAUGGCCCCAAGAUAAUGGCAAGGGGCAUAUAAUUGUUACCGUUGUCUGUCUGUCCCUGUGUGAACUAUUGUUAGAAAAUCUUGUCAGGCCCAUAACUCUGUCAUGCAUCAAGGGAAUUUUAAACGUUUUGUCACAAAUGUUGAGCAUGAUAGGACGAUAUGUGUCAAGCGCAUGACGUAGACCCCUAGAUUCAAGGUCACAAAGGUCAAAAGUCAGCAGUUAGAAAAUCUUGUCCAGUCCAUAACUGUCUUACAUCAAGGGAUUUGGAUGAUGUGUCAUGUGCAUGACCUAGACACUUAGCUAACUACAGACAUUUGAAAUCUAAGUGUUAUAUUGACCUUUCAAGAUAACACUAAGAGGUCAAAUGUCAGCAAUUUUUUAAUCUUGUUUGGCCCAUUUAAGUCUGCGAAGGAAAACUGUGAAUUUGGCACAACAUGUUUACCAGGAUGAGAUGGUGUGUCAUGCACAAGAUCAAGAGUCUUAGGUCAAGGUCAUGUUUAGAGGUCAAAGGUCAGCAAUUUGAUAAUUUGUGCUCUGUCACAUUGAAAUUAAGGAUUUUUUAAUAUUAAAGAUAUGUUUUAUCAACAUCCAUCUGUACUCUUACUUGAAAAGGUCAUUUGUGGCACAACAAUUCUGUCAUGUCAGAUGUUUCGAUGUUCUAACAUAUAUAGGAAGGGCAUCUGUGUCUCAGACACAUUUCUAGGGUUUGCUUGUUUCUUACAUGAUACUUAAAUAAAAAGUAAGAAAAGGAAUAUUAUUUUUUCCAAAAAAUUGAUAAGUAGACAAAUAAUCUUUGUUUGAUUGUUUUUGUAUGUAUGUGAGUCUUUUCUCAACUAGUCAUACUGCUGUUCCAAACAUGAUGUACAUGUGUAUAUGUUUUUGGCAAAAAACAGUCAUGAUGUAUAUGUUUUCGGCAAAAGGAAUCUUGCUGAUUUUGCAAUUUACUGUGAUGAAAUUUUAUAUUUAGAUUGAAUAAUAAUUUUGCCAUUGUCAUUUGUUGUUGGUUAAUAAAACAAGUGUAAUAAAAAGUACCUUAUGCUAUGUUAAAAAGAAACGAUCAUGUAUUUGAUUUAAGCUAGCCUUUUCAAUGAAAAAGAAGAGCUUUCCUGCUAUCCCUAUUAUAUGCCAUUGAGUCACAUCUUAGAAAAAGUUUUUUUGUGACAAAGUAUUAAAACUAUGGUUUUGAAACUUGCCAUACUUGUUGACCAUCAUUAUUGUCCAUCUAUUGUCUUUUUUUAUUAGAAAAUGUACUUAAUGUCUUUUAACUUUGAAUGAUUGUUUAAAUCAUUACCCAAUCUGUUGACAAGAGAAGGUGACCCCAUUAGGAAUUUAAAGAUAUACUAUGCUCAAAUUUGAUAUCAGAAAAUAUUGAUAAUUGCUACAUAGUCUCUUUGUAAAAAUGAAAUAAACAUGUUUUGACUUUACAUAAAGUUUAUAUGUCAUGUUUAAAACUCUACAAACUAUAGGUCGUCACAAUAUGAAUAUAUAGUGUCGUUAAAAAAACUGGCAGUUUUUUUAAGAAAAGACCAAUUUUACUUGUCCUAUAAUAGACCAUGUGACUUCCAAUGCAUAGUUGUUUUCAUUUUUUAUUCAAAUUAGACAUACUCAGUAAGAAUUUCAUAGGUUUAAAUAAAUUUCUUUGAUCAAAAUAUUUUACUCAAAGAUGAGCAUAGUAUAUCUUUAAGUUUUCAUAGACCUUUGUUAGGUUUUUGGUCUCUGCCAAAGUUUUGUUUAUAGGCGAGCAAUAAAAACUUAAGCAUUCAGUCCUGUUGACUGCUCCUUUUUUAAGUUACAUACCAUUAUUUGGAUUUUGUAGUUACCUUUAGAGUAUAUAAUCAGAUUUUGGCCAUGUAACAGUUUUGUUAAAACUUAAACAUCUGAUCUGUAAGACUCAUUUAUGUUUACUAAGCAUUUAUUUCAAUUAAAACAAGGAAAAACAUAAAUAUUAGGCCUAUUGUAUAAUUUUUUUAAAUUUUUGCAUUAAAAAUAACUUAUUUAGAAGUAAAUUAAUAGUAUUUCAAAUUCUACUAAAACAUUAUCACCUCCUUUUUUAAUACUUUAUGGGGAUCUAAAUCUUUGUACAUGCAAUGUCUACAUAGGCCUUUUUGUUUAAUUUUAUAUACAAAAAAGUAUAUAUUGUCAAAGCAUGAUUGCAUAACAUAUUAGAAUGACUUGUAUUCAAAUAAAGCUUGAAUUGUAUAA